rnacentral:lncRNA from 1 species
AUGAAGAGCUCCCAUUCAUUUGGGGUGCAUGCGGAGUUUUCUUUCCUUCCAUCUUGCUUUAAUGCACCCCAGGGGCUUGGAAAAAACAGAUUUGGAGAGUCUGAUUCUUUGGGGAGUUACUGUCAUGUCAGGAAGGGGGUACGCCGCCGGGGGAAGCAGCAGUCCUGGCUGCCUAACGUGGGAUGGAUUCAGCAGCGCCCGCGGGACACAUUCCAGUGGGAAACUUCAAAGCCAGAUAAAACCCAGCAAGAACUACCAAUUUGCUCUCCCCCUCUGCUGUUCACAAAGCUUUUAAAAACAUACCUGCCUGCUUGGGGAGCGAAAAGUCUUCUCUUACCUUGCAGGUGGUGGGAACAGCCAGGAGCUUGCGUUCGUUCCACUGGAGUGAUGAAGUCUGGCAGCAGUUGGAGGUACUGGAGAAAAAUCUACAGCCUAAAAGAAGGAGCGGACAGGCUUUGGGCUCCCGUUCUGACUCUCAGCACACAAGUGUGCCGCUCGUUAGCAUCGCCCUCCUGCAGCUCCCUCACCCUUGGCAGUCACCCUGGGCCCAGGGGCUGCUGCUGCAGGAUUUGUGCGUGGCGCUGA